rnacentral:misc_RNA from 1 species
GAAACGCGAUAGUUAAUGUGAAUUGCAGAAUUCAGUGAAUCAUCGAGUCUUUGAACGCACAUUGCGCCCAUAGGUAUUCCUUUGGGCAUGUCUGUUUGAGCGUCAUUACAACCCUCAGCUAACCGCUGGUUUUGAACCUGAACGGGUGACACCGCGCCGGUUUUAAAGUUGUAAGCUCUGCUGGCCGCUCUGCCCAACCAGAACAUAGUAAGCACUACUUGUCCGGGUGAAGCUGAACGGUACGGCCUGAACAAAACCUACCCACUCUCAAGGUUUGACCUAAGAUCAGACAAGGCUACCCGCUGAACUUAAGC